AUGAACGCUGGCGGCAUGCCUCACACAUGCAAGUCCAUCGGUAAGGCUCUUCGGAGUACCCGAGAGGCGGACGGCUGAGUAACGCGUAGGAACACACCCUGCAGUGAGGGAUAAGACACCGAAAGGUGUUCUAAUACCGCAUACGGUCUUCGGAUUAAAGCAUUUAUGCGCUGAAGGAGUGGCCUGCGUCAUAUUAGAUAGUUGGUGAGGUAAUGGCUCACCAAGUCGAUGAUGUGUAGCUGGUCUGAGAGGAUGAUCAGCCAGACUGGAACUGAGACACGGUCCAGACUCCUACGGGAGGCAGCAGUGAGGAAUAUUUCACAAUGAGCGAAAGCUUGAUGGAGCAAUGCCGCGUGCAGGAUGAAGGCCCUCGGGUUGUAAACUGCUUUUAUAAGAGAAGAUUAUGACGGUAACUUAUGAAUAAGGGACGGCUAACUACGUG
rnacentral:rRNA from 1 species